AAACAGCAGCAGGGAGGACACUCCCCUGCAGCACCUACAACACCAGAGACUGCAGCAGCAGCAGCCUCUCCUGAUCCCCCCAGAGACCUGACAGACUCUCAGGAAUUGGCUGCGCCGAUGGAGAGACUUACCUCGAAAGUUGGGGCUGCAAUUGAGGAGACCCGUGGGGAGGUUCGUGCCCAGGUUCAACCUAUCGCAUCCAUCCUGCAGAAGCACGAGCAGGAGAUCCAGGGCCUUGGGGAAAGGCUGGAGGAGGUGGAGGGUUGAACGAAGGCCUUGGAAGCUGCAACGGAGUCCUCAUCCAUUCGAAUCCAGGUGCUGGAGCAAGAAGCGCAGGCCUCGUAAGACCAUAUCGACGACCUUGAUUGGAUAAAUCUUCUAAUUUUUGGGCUCCCUGAAGUUACGGAAGAUGUCAUCAACUGUGCUAUCAAGCUGAACCUACUCAGUGAUGCCUAGUUUGGAUUCCGUCAGCGUCACUCAGCUCCUGACCUCAUUACAGCCUUGGUUCAAACAUGAACAAAACCAGUGAAUUCCAGAGGUGAGGUGAGAGAUAACCACAUGAUGAUGGAAAUUAGGACAGCACUCCAAUAAAAUUGAAUGAGAUUAAGACUGAAGCCCAGUUGGUACAUCAGCUGAUCUAUGGAUUAAAACAUCUAAUACUGUAGGUUAUAAUAGAGUCUGUUGUUGGACCAAUACAAUUCUUAAAAGGAAAGAAAGCUGCUGUUGCCCCAUACUCAGGACACAUGUUGGCAAUAGUUGCUCGAUCAGCAAUGGAUAAUCGCACCACUCCUG